UACGGGGGGGGCAAGCGUUGUUCGGAAUUACUGGGCGUAAAGGGCGCGUAGGCGGCCUUCUAAGUCGGACGUGAAAUCCCUCGGCUCAACCGAGGAACUGCGUCCGAUACUGAAAGGCUUGAAUCCGGGAGAGGGAUGUGGAAUUCCAGGUGUAGCGGUGAAAUGCGUAGAUAUCUGGAGGAACACCGGUGGCGAAGGCGGCAUCCUGGACCGGUAUUGACGCUGAGGCGCGAAAGCUAGGGGAGCAAACGGG
rnacentral:rRNA from 1 species